AUUGAACGCUGGCGGCAUGCCUUACACAUGCAAGUCGAACGGUAACAGGUUAAGCUGACGAGUGGCGAACGGGUGAGUAAUGUAUCGGAACGUGCCCAGUCGUGGGGGAUAACUGCUCGAAAGAGCAGCUAAUACCGCAUACGACCUGAGGGUGAAAGCGGGGGAUCGCAAGACCUCGCGCGAUUGGAGCGGCCGAUAUCAGAUUAGGUAGUUGGUGAGGUAAAGGCUCACCAAGCCGACGAUCUGUAGCUGGUCUGAGAGGACGACCAGCCACACUGGGACUGAGACACGGCCCAGACCCCUACGGGAGGCAGCAGUGGGGAAUUUUGGACAAUGGGCGCAAGCCUGAUCCAGCCAUGCCGCGUGCGGGAAGAAGGCCUUCGGGUUGUAAACCGCUUUUGUCAGGGAAGAAAAGGUUCUGGCUAAUACCUGGGACUCAUGACGGUACCUGAAGAAUAAGCACCGGCUAACUACGUG
rnacentral:rRNA from 1 species